rnacentral:misc_RNA from 1 species
UCCGGUUUGGCACCGGCAGUCCUCCCAGAGUCCCCGACUUGACUCGCUGGCAACUGGGAGCGGGGGUUGCGCCCGUUGCGGGACUUAACCCAACAUCUCACGACACGAGCUGACGACAGCCAUGCAGCACCUUGCACUCUGUCUGGUUUUACCCAGAGGGCCCUAUCUCUAGGGUUGUCAGAGGCAUUCUAGCCCAGGUAAGGUUCUUCGCGUUGCGUCGAAUUAAACCACAUGCUCCACCGCUUGUGCGGGUCCCCGUCAAUUCCUUUGAGUUUUAAUCUUGCGACCGUACUCCCCAGGCGGGAUGCUUAAUGCGUUAGCUGCGCCACCAAAGAGCAAGCUCCCUGACGGCUAGCAUCCAUAGUUUACGGCGUGGACUAC